AUCUCUGAAAGACCCCUGGAGCAGGGAGACCCUCACUCAAGUCUCAGGAUGACGCAACCCCCCAAGAACACGUAAAACC
rnacentral:pre_miRNA from 14 species